CUUUCUUUUCUGAGGUCUUGCCUGAUUUCUUUUGAUUUUCCCAUGAUGUCAAGCAAAAAGGCACUGAGUUUGAAGUUCAUAGCAGAUUUAUAUCUGCAGUGACUCACUGGAUGAGGACCCUCAAGCUGAGAACAUGGCUUGCCAAAUUAUGCACAGUUUCGGUGAAGAGGUGGUGGCAAGCGUACCACACCUUGACCAUGAUUAUGAUCAGAAUCCUCUGCCUGCUGAGGAGCAGCUUGAAGAGGCACCAACGAGGUCGUUCGUCAGGCUGAGGAAAUCGCAAAGCUUCAGGCAAACCAGUUCCUCCUUCUAUGCUUCCAGUGUGAAAAAAAGAAAACCAUAUUUACAUUGAAUUUAGAGACUACAGUACUAUAAAGCUGUUUUUCUGGCUUUACAGCCAACAGCAGAGACCAUGGAUAGAUGGAGUCAGGUACAGUGCAUAAACAAAACAGAUGAAUACCCACGUAGAGUUGGCUAUAAAGCUUAACUCUAAUGGAUCAGUUGUCCCUCUUUCUGUGCCGUGUUAGACAGGGCCUCCUUGAACUGGAUUUAGCUGUUUGUUUCAAUGUAUCACACUCCACAGUCACCUGGGUAGGAUAUGUGUCACCUGGGCAAACUACCUUUACUUCAUGCUAGGAUCCCUUCCAGUUUGGCCCUAAAGGGUAACUGUUAAUUAGCUGAUGCCCCUCUGUUUCAGGAACACAUACCCACAUACCAGAGUAAUACUGGACUGUACUGAAAUACUUAUGGUAGAGAAAUUAACAUUAAAUUCUCUGGCAACA